ensembl:lncRNA
CCCUGUUUUCUGGAUCAGCCACUGGGGCACAUCCAAACCUUCACAGAAGCAUUUUAAACAAUGGCAAUUCAGAAGAUCUGUUUCGCACCAGCCAUAUGUUCCUGCCUUGGCUCCAGCCCUGCUCCUUUGCUCCUAAGCUGGAGAAGAGAACAGAUGGGAUUUAAACCUCUCUAACUUUUUAUUUCCACCUACAUGCUUUGCCUGACAAAGUUAUGGGGGAAUUUUCUCAUUGGCACCCUGAAAUGUACUUCGUUUGUGAUUAAGCCAAGACCAUAGAUAUGAGGCUCUGACAUUUUAAGAUCUAGUAUCAGUUCAUUUUCAUUAUGUUUUAUUCAUAGUGAAUGUUGGACCUGGCUUCUCACUGUGCUCAUGCUUGUCUGAAUCAGGAGUUUGUCUGACAUCUUUGUCACGGCAAAUACUGCACUCCAUCUGGGGACCCGAGGACUCAGGGAGAUCAAGCACCUAAGAGAAAAUGAGUAAUUUGGAAGGAGAUGGGUGGGAUAUCAUCGUUUUAUUUUUCUGAUAUGCGACUUUCCUGGCCAGGUGAUGAUCAGCAUCUCACAUUUUUUAUGUUUUCCUUCCAUGGGCCUUUCGGAUGAGAUCUUAGAAGCCUACCAAACAUUAACUGCUCUUUGGGCCAAGAACUGUUCUCAGCUACACCAUAGAGAAGCAGAAGGUGUUCAGUGCAAAUGGUGAAGUUCAGCAGGCUGGGGCUGACGGUUGGAUUCAAUUCACCUUUUUGUGUCCUUCACCUUGGGAAGAAGCCUUUUUCUCCCCUUUCUUCUCCCUGUACACCUGGGCAGGGAGAGAGUGAACCACACGAAACUUGAACAUGUGUGCAGUAGCCAUGUACUGAAAAUCAGGCCAAACUCUUUCAGCUCUUAUGAAUGGUUUAUGCCUGUUUCUGGAUGUGUGUAUUUCUGUAAAUUAAAAAAAAAAAAAAAAGAGAGAGAGAAGACUCAAAAAUCCAGAUGUUUCUGAGUCUCAGGACAAAAGUGGUUGAAUUUACCAUGAAAAAUUGAACAUCAAAGUGUGUUUUAAGAAGAAAUAUUUUGUGCUUUUUGAUAAAAAUAUCUGUUAAGUCUCAGUUAGUUGCUCGGUUGCUUUCAGGUUGUACUCCUCUGUCUCAUUCACAAGCUACACUGCCUUACCUAGUUCAGAAUUACAUCACAUUAUAAGAAAUACAUUGUUGGCAAAAUCCUACUUGGAUCCCCAGCACUAUUUUGCUUUUAAGCAGGUUUUUGUUGCUUGCAGUUCUGCUUGUGGUUGUGUUCUGCUGUUAAUGGGGAUGAACAGGGGGAGUUGGAAGCAGAAGAAAAACCCCAUCAAAAUGAUAAGAGAAUCUGAAAUAUAAAGGGGCAAUUUUCCAUGGCAUUUGUAUUAAAUGAAUUAAAUG